AGCAGCCGCGGUAAUUCCAGCUCCAAUAGCGUAUAUUAAAGUUGUUGCAGUUAAAAAGCUCGUAGUUGAAUUUCGGGAUUGACGUGACGGUCGUGCCUUAAGGGGUAUGAACUGUUACAGUCAAUUUCUCACCUUCUGGAGAAAUAUGAUGUCCUUAAUUGGGUGUCAUAUGGAACCAGAACUUUUACCUUGAAAAAAUUAGAGUGUUUAAAGCAAGCUUAUUGCUCGAAUACAUUAGCAUGGAAUAAUAAAAUAGGACGGCAUGGUUCUAUUUUGUUGGUUUCUAGGAUCACCGUAAUGAUUAAUAGGGAUAGUUGGGG
rnacentral:rRNA from 1 species